rnacentral:rRNA from 1 species
AUGCACGCUGGCGGCGUGCCUCAUACAUGCAAGUCGCGCGAACAGACGAGGAGCUUGCUCCUCUGGCGUUAGCGGCGGACGGGUGAGUAACACGUGGAUAACCUACCUAUAAGACUGGGAUAACUUCGGGAAACCGGAGCUAAUACCGGAUAAUAUAUUGAACCGCAUGGUUCAAUAGUGAAAGACGGUUUUGCUGUCACUUAUAGAUGGAUCCGCGCCGCAUUAGCUAGUUGGUAAGGUAACGGCUUACCAAGGCGACGAUGCGUAGCCGACCUGAGAGGGUGAUCGGCCACACUGGAACUGAGACACGGUCCAGACUCCUACGGGAGGCAGCAGUAGGGAAUCUUCCGCAAUGGGCGAAAGCCUGACGGAGCAACGCCGCGUGAGUGAUGAAGGUCUUCGGAUCGUAAAACUCUGUUAUUAGGGAAGAACAAAUGUGUAAGUAACUAUGCACGUCUUGACGGUACCUAAUCAGAAAGCCACGGCUAACUACGUG